UAACACCAGCGCCACAAGUGGCAAUCAUUUUUAUUGGGCCUAAAGCGUCCGUAGCCGGUUUGAUAAGUCUUUUGUGAAAUUGUAGAGCUUAACUUUACAGUGUGCAAGAGAAACUAUCAAUCUAGGAACUGGGAGAGGAUAAAAGUACUCUUUGGGGAGCGGUAAAAUACUAUAAUCCUUAGAGGACACCUAUGGCGAAGGCAUUUAUCUAGAACAGGUUCGACGGUGAGGGACGAAAGCUAGGAGAACAAAAGGGAUUAGAUACCCCUGUAGCCCUAGCCGUAAACUCUGUGAGCUAUGUAUUGCAUGUUUUUCGUAAACAUGCAGUGCCGAAGCGAAGGCAUUAAGCUCACCGCCUGGGAAGUAUAGUCGCAAGGCCG
rnacentral:rRNA from 1 species